rnacentral:lncRNA from 1 species
ACCUGUGUCCCGGUCCUCAAGUUGGAUCCCAUAGAAGCCCAGCAUGAGUUCAUAGGCCCGGACCAGACGCUCUUUGACCUCCUGGGAGCUUUUAAAUGCCUCCACCUCCUUGAGUGUGAGGGGCUUGGCAUGCCGGUUCACUCCUGGUUCCCUCAGAGGAAACAGCCACUGGAUAUAGGAGUGAUUCUCUUCAAGGACGACAUAGUUGUCUUUCCAGUUGUGAAGAAUUUCCUCAAUGUAGAGACCAUUUGGCUGGAAGCAGAUCUCAUUUUUGUAGAAGCACAGGUGGAAUCGUAGUCCGGGUCAUCCAUUCUCAAGAGGCAGGACUGGCAUUCCAUGGAAAGGAAAGGGGAAGAGGAGUACUUGUCUGUAAAAAUGGAAAACACGUUGAAAGCCUGUUAGUAACAUGUCUACACUGUGUAUGCAUUUGGGCAGUAAUCUGCCAAAGGACAUUUGUGGAAGUAAGAAAACAAAUGUGUGGACCAUGGGAAUUAAGCUGAGUAUCUCAGACUUGGUGA